rnacentral:rRNA from 1 species
AGUCGAACGGGCUUUGGGGCUUGCUCCAAAGUUAGUGGCGAACGGGUGAGUAAUAUAUCGGAACGUACCCUUGAGUGGGGGAUAACUAGUCGAAAGACUGGCUAAUACCGCAUACGAUCUACGGAUGAAAGUGGGGGACCGCAAGGCCUCAUGCUCGUGGAGCGGCCGAUAUCUGAUUAGCUAGUUGGUAGGGUAAAAGCCUACCAAGGCGACGAUCAGUAGCUGGUCUGAGAGGACGAUCAGCCACACUGGGACUGAGACACGGCCCAGACUCCUACGGGAGGCAGCAGUGGGGAAUUUUGGACAAUGGGCGAAAGCCUGAUCCAGCAAUGCCGCGUGAGUGAAGAAGGCCUUCGGGUUGUAAAGCUCUUUUGUCAGGGAAGAAACGGUGGGGGCUAAUAUCCUCUGCUAAUGACGGUACCUGAAGAAUAAGCACCGGCUAACUACGUGCCAGCAGCCGCGGUAAUACGUAGGGUGCGAGCGUUAAUCGGAAUUACUGGGCGUAAAGGGUGCGCAGGCGGUUGUGCAAGACAGGCGUGAAAUCCCCGGGCUUAACCUGGGAAUGGCGCUUGUGACUGCACGGCUAGAGUGUGUCAGAGGGGGGUAGAAUUCCACGUGUAGCAGUGAAAUGCGUAGAUAUGUGGAGGAAUACCGAUGGCGAAGGCAGCC